UACGGCUACAACAGAUUGAAACACCAGUUCCCGUACGAUCACCGAAGUUAAGCAACGUCGAGCUUGGUCAGUGCUUGGACGGAUAACCAUCUGGGAAUACCAGGUGCUGGAUG